AUGUUGAGGCGGUGGAACUGGAUCCGGUCAACCCAGGGAAGUGAGUCCGGUUCGAGAAGGUGCUUGAUCUUGUCGUUGUAGACAUCAAGAGCAAGGAUCUUAUGCGGCGUCUCUAACAACAACUUCUCGCAGAGGUGAGAGCCUAUGAAACCUCCGGCACCGAUCAUGCAUAUUGUGAUCGGCUUUAUCGGCCUCCCGUCCAGAUCCACCCUAUUUGCCGUCGCCAUUGUCUCAAACAAUCACCA
rnacentral:misc_RNA from 1 species